GUGCUAUUCACUUGUUACUUUUGUGCCUUUCUCCUUCUCAACCAUCAAUGUCUGCCACCGCUUCUUUUGCCUUGUACCUCAAAGAGUGACCUCUAUUCACUCACCCAAAGGUCAAAAUCUGCACUUUUGUAAUAGCUUCAGAGAGAUUGCUGUGAACCCACUGACCUCGAAUUGAAAUCCCUUUAGUUACCUACAGCUAUCUCCAGUGGUUGGAAUUGCUGAUUAUAGAGUGGGUGUUAGCAUUUUGAAUAGGGUUGCAGUAUGUAGCAGUUGAUUGGCUUCAUUAGCUGCGGAAAUCUAAGGCUUGAGGUAUGUCGAUAACAAUGAAAGGAGUCCAUGAGUGGACGUGGUAGUGAGAUACCAGAAUUGUCUUGAGCAAACAAUGUUUGGAGCUUUGUUUUGCUUGUGAAGUGUGUGCUGGACCUUACUUUUCUUAUUUAAAUGAUUGCUUCCUGGUGCUGGAUGUUCCUCAUUCUAGAAUUUUGUUCUUUUUGUGUUUGCAAUGUACAUAUGAUGUAACCGAAGUGUUAACCUGGAGCAUUCUUCUGUAGUGGAAAACUUUGUAAGCAAGUUGCUCUUUUGAGCUUAUAAGAUGUAUUACUUUUCUCCCAUAUUUUAGAGAAACUUUUU
rnacentral:lncRNA from 1 species